rnacentral:misc_RNA from 1 species
CUCUCUCUCUUCCUUGAUACACACAACCCGAGGCUGGAGUGUGGAGUGUGCUGCGCGGGGCGUGCACGUUCCGAACGAACGAGGGGCCAGAAAGACACGUGUGUGUACGACGAGGUCGGGCAAAAUCGCACGGCGAGGUUAACCUCCUCUGCCUCGCCGUUCGUGUCUCCCAUUUCGACCACGAAAACCGAGCCAGGAAAAAAAACGGCGGAAAGGAGGAAGUGAGAUAGCACGACCAACGGUGUGGUGGCCAGACCGUGUGAAAGAGAAAGAAAAAGUAAGAGCGGCGUGAAAACGAGAUAAAUAGAGAGAGAACGAGGGUGGAAUAAUAGGAUCGAACGGGACAGAACGAAAAGGGGGAGGGAAUGAACGGCCCUGGGAGUCAUCAGCAUCGCGGCUUGGGCAUGCAGGGACGUUACAGGGCCGUCGUAACUGGUGGCAGCCCAGCAGGGCCCCACUCACGCCCUCCAGCGCCACCUCACGCCCGCGGCGGAUGGCACCCUCAUAAUCAGCACCCUCAGCAUGCCCAGAUACCGCAGCAAUACACCGGCAACAAGGAAUACCCGUAUCGACAAUGUCCACCGCCACGCUUCCAUAACGGGGACUGUCCCGGCGUCGGUACGUCUUCCGGGCCGAACGGUAAGGAAGUCUCGUAUCACGGGAACGUAGGCGGGUCUAGCGUGGGGUACAAACCGCCUCCGCAACAUAGUCCGCAAUCGAGAGGUCCACCGGCGCAUUUUCCACAAGAAUCAGUGGGCCCGCCGGCCAAUUCUCCGCCGUUGCAUAUCAACAUUUGCGGCCAAGAGAGCAACAUGCGUGGUCCAUUAUUGAACAUGAGUCCAGGUCUCGGAGCUAGCAGCGUCGAUAUGGAAUACCGUAGGAGUUCCCAAGCCACAAACCAGCUACCUCUGAGUCCUGUACAAAUCCAACCAUCGCCGCCAUAUUACCGACAGCCUAGUCAAGAUGAUGGUAGAAAGAGCGAGUCGCCAUCUAGGAAGCGUCGUCGAAUAUCUCGCAACGGUGCCGUUUCCGGAAUAGAAGUUCGCGAAACGACGCCUCCGUCGCCCACGCCGCCAUUGCACACCACUCCACCGCCAUGGGAGUUCUCUGCUGCGCCACAGAGGCGAUCGCCCCGGAAUCACAUGUCGACUCGUGGCAGUCCAACUGUCAGGAAUCGUUAUCAACGAUACACCGACUCGUUUGGUCUAACGUAUCCCUUCAUGCCAAGUCAUGCCAAUCCCCAUCCAACUAUUCACAAUUCUCAUCAUGGAAUCCACGGUACCCAUCACAAUAUUCACAGCCCGCAUCAUAAUCUACACAACUCGCAUCACAAUAUGCAUAACGCGCAUCAAACGCAUCCCCAUCAUCCACCGGGCACGGGACACCACCCUGCGCAAGGGGCGAACGGUCCUGUGGUCGUGGAUGUCGGACAAGUCGGUGUUUCCGGUUUGGGGGUUGCAGUUAGCGGGGAACCACUCUGGCAUCCUCAGGCGACAGGUUACAGGAUCCCUUGCCAGCUGCAUGGAUUAUAUGCGCCUACCGGAACGCACGCGUUCGCGCACUCGUGUCAAGUCACCCAUCAUCAUACUCACUAUUCACCGGCUCAUCCGACCCACCCAGGCCACAGCCUGGUCGGUUCGAUAGUUGGCGCAGCAUCCAGGGGAUAUCCAACUCCAACCGGAGGUCCUGUGGCGGCUCUUCAUCAUGCUCACGCGCCUCCACCACCCGUCCAUACUACUCAUUACACUGCGCACCAUCAACUCUCACAACAGCGAGAAGUUGAGUUAGAGUUAAUAGAAUCUCACCAUCACCACAGAGCUGCAGCUGGUGGACCAUUACCAUUACCGCAUUCGUAUUCACCGCCAGCUCUUGCUCAAGUCACCACUUCUACUGCUACGCCUAUAUUCCUGUCAGACACGAGGAACAGUCAAUUGGAAAUGAUUCAAAGCAGAGCUCGGCGCACUGCGUCGAACGUUCACACGCUCAGACGAUCAAGGUCGAGUAGAUGGAGAGGCACGCCUUCAAUACCACCGACCACCUACCCAGGAUUCUUAUUACACUUCUUUGCAAUGCUCAGCAACCCACCAUUAUCCCCGUAUAGUCAGGCAGAGCUGUCUUCACCGGACUCAGCGACCGAGAAUUACGAGGCUCUGCUUUCCCUAGCGGAGAGACUGGGCGAGGCCAAGCCUCGAGGAUUAACCCGGGCUGAAGUGGAGCAGCUACCCUCCUACAAAUUCAACGCUGAGACGCACCAGGGCGACCAGACUAACUGCGUAGUGUGCAUGUGCGAUUUCGAGGCACUGCAAUCACUGCGCGUGCUGCCAUGCUCACACGAGUUUCACUCGAAGUGCAUCGAUAAGUGGCUCAAAUCAAACCGAACGUGUCCAAUAUGUCGCGGCGAUGCUGGAGAAUACUUUGGGAACAGCGGGACCGGUAGCGACUGACGCCAGGCCGCUCAAGUGCACUAGCGCCAUCUGUCACGGGUCUCAGAGACUCUACUCGGCACAGAGCUUCCAGCGAUCACGUUGCUGGUUUGUGCAAAUUUCUGUUGACAAGCAUUUCUCGCCUUUUCUCACGACCCACGAAACAGUGCCGUGCGCCGUGUCUCACGAUUGAUCGCGCCUCGGUUUCACGGAAAUACAUGUAAAAAAAAAAAAGAAAGAGAAGAGACUCCUCCUCUCCGAGUGUGACCAGCUUCAUCGUGUGGAGGAUUCAAAACGAGCGAACGGAAAGCAGGAAACAAACACGAGGGAAAAACCAAAUGAGAGUAAAAUUCAGGGUAUGAUGAUGUCAGGGUGUUUAAUGGUGUCGAGAAAAGGACCACUCACACACACGCAAUAAAGAAAAGUCGGAGAGAGAAAGAGAAUAUGUGAGAGAGAGAGAGAGAGCAUGUAUAAAAUGUGGAUUGAGCAAAUUGACGCGCUAAAGGUUCAGACAAACUAAGAGAGCGAGAGAGAAAAAGAGAGAUAGAGAGAAAGGGUUCCGGAGAUAUAUUAAAAGCUACUACCAUGCAUUUCACGUCAGGAUCAAAGUCUGACUAUUGUGUACUCGUUCGUUUUGUUCCUUCAACGCGCUUCGAAUUUAACUAAAAUCGUGUUUAACGCUCGUUUGUUGUUUAUUUUCGUUUUUCCUUUUAGCGUUGCUACAUCGUCAAAAUGUCGGGUUGAUUCUGUAUAUAAUUUAUUUACGUAAAUACGCAAAAAGAAAUUAU